GCACAUACUUAGCCCGUGCUUCCUCUGAGGCUCUGUCAAUAUGGAGGGAGAACCCACCAUAACUUCAUCCCCUCUGACAGCGGUUUACAAUCCGAAGACCUUCAUCCCGCACGCGGCGUCGCUCGGUCAGGCUUUCGCCCAUUGCCGAAGAUUCUCGAC
rnacentral:rRNA from 1 species